rnacentral:rRNA from 1 species
CUCAGGAUGAACGCUAGCUACAGGCUUAACACAUGCAAGUCGAGGGAAACGAUAUUGGAGCUUGCUUCCGAUAGGCGUCGACCGGCGCACGGGUGAGUAACGCGUAUCCAACCUGCCACCACUUGGGGAUAACCUUGCGAAAGCAAGCCUAAUACCCGAUACGCUUCAUAGAUGGCAUCUGAAAUGAAGUAAAGGUUUACGGUUAUGGAUGGCCUCGCGUCUGAUUAGCUGGUUGGUGAGGUAACGGCCCACCAAGGCGACGAUCAGUAGCCGGUCUGAGAGGAUGAACGGCCACAUUGGGACUGAGAUACGGCCCAGACUCCUACGGGAGGCAGCAGUGGGGAAUAUUGGGCAAUGGGGGAAACCCUGACCCAGCAACGCCGCGUGAAGGAAGAAGGCCUUCGGGUUGUAAACUUCUUUUAGCAGGGACGAAGGACGUGACGGUACCUGCAGAAAAAGCAACGGCUAACUACGUG